AUUCGACUAGCGGCACUCUUGUGGUAGGUACGUACCAUGUCUGAUUCAGAUAAGUCAUGAGCAUGUUUAGGGUUAUAACCAUCACACGUAGUGUUUUCAGUAUUAUAAUGAGUUUAUUUAAAAACAAUUCAUUUAUAUCAACUCAAAACAAACGAGGUUAACAAUAAAAAUUACAAGUGGAACGAGUCUUGAUAAACAUUGUUAAUUAUUAGCAUUGAUUUGCAACAAACUGAUAAUAAUUUUGGCAAUGAUUUCAAAGGAAAAUGCUGGAGAUAAGAAAUAGAGAGAAGAAGAAAUGUAGAAUGCAAAAACUUUGGGGUCGAUCUCGAAAAUUGAAAAAUGCAGACCUAUUCUAAAGCAUCUUUAUCUAAACUAUAGUCAUUGAUCUUGUCGUGGUGUCACCUAGAGUAGCUACCACUAACAAUGUAGUAAAGUUGAGAAUGUGCGCAGGUGCUCAAAAAACUUCAGAAACGGCUAAGUUGUUGGAUUUGUCGCUCACUUUUGUAAAGAGAUGUGCCAAUUGCAGAGAAUUAAAAGAGAGAUAGUUUAUAUCAUCGCCCAGCUAACAACAACAUAAAAACAGACGAAGUUCAAUCCCAUGACAGUCGGUUGUUCGUACCUGAUUGACUCAAUGGAUUUCUUCAUCGGCAAGGGCUGCCGUCUCAGUGUACAAUACACUGCUACAACAACAACAGAUGGUGUUAUAUGGCCGUUAUCUUGACUAUAACAGGAGAUUCUAUUAGGUUGAACUAAUGAACAGUAUUUUUAUACCAAAAAUAAAGUUGUAUCAUACCACUCGA
rnacentral:sRNA from 1 species